rnacentral:lncRNA from 1 species
UUUGCAGACGGUACUCCAUUUGAAUAAGAAAUACAAUUCUGAAUAUUUCUUAUACAAAUGGAGUACCGCCUGCAACGCUUGUAUGAUAAUAUGGUAGGGCGGGCCGCGUCAGUUGUAACUCUCUUCUAUUUCAUACUUCUUGGUUUAAUGGACCGGAACAACAAAGCGUGGAGUAAUAUAUUUUCAUAUAAUCUUCCUCCCCCCUUUUCUUUGUCUACUAAGAAAUCAGGUUACACUGAAAAAUCAGAUCAGUUAGUGAACAUUUGAAAUAUUAAAACCUUUGUCGAAAACAUUUUUUGUGAUAUUCGUCUUUUCUGAUAAAUAUUUGAUCAUUUGCUUAAAAAGUGACUUGCGGAUUUUACAGCAAAGACUUGAUUUGAAAUAGAUUAAAACGAAAACGACGGAUUUCUUCCUAAUAAUUUAUCAGAAAAAGUUACAAGGUUGCAGUUACAAAUCGUUACUCGUGUAUGCUACUUUCCCAAACAAGGAUCAAUUGACAGUCCUUCAAAUCUAUCUGCAUAAUUAUAGGGGGGGGGGGGAAGUUGUGAAAAUAUUUACCUCUGUUAUUGUGAGCUUGUGAAACUAGUGAUAAAUCAAACUAAAGAAACGCAACCAAACCCUUCUGGAGAGUAGAAAUCAACUAAAAGUGGAGAGAAUAUUCUUUAAAAUGUAAGUAAUAAAUUUCACAUAAAUUGUACUCUUAAUUUAAUAAAUAAUUUAUUUGCAA